CCCCAGGAGCUUUUCAACCACACAAUUGGAAGAAACUUAGUAAGAAGGAUUUUCAAAAGUUGUAUCCUGUACGAAGAAGUUCUUACUAAGCCGUAAAUUGUCGUUGUGCUGCUCUUGCAUUAUGAGAAUUUGUCGCGAAUUCUUCGCAAAUUUACGUCUAGUAUGAUGAUAACUUAAAGCAAGCAACACAAGCGAGUGGCUCGCAGGAGAAUUCACGAAAAGGAAAAAAUAAGGCAAAAUAUGAAACGCUAAAUAACUUACCAGUUGAGGAAAGGGAAAGUCAUGCUGUGCUUAUAAGUCAGCUGAAGUGAGUAAACUGUAAUUAAAUUUUACCGCUUACAUAACCUUCAAGAGAAAGUUUACAGCUGAAUGAAUGUUACUGAAAACAAACAGUAACGUUUGUUACCAGCUCAAUUUAAUACGAACUAUUACCUAUUAAAAUAUUUUAUCACAGCGUCAGGAUCAACGAAUUCUAAGAAACACGAAAAACUAAAACAAAA